rfam:Glycine soja cultivar W05 scaffold3294_39, whole genome shotgun sequence.
GUUUUCCCUAGAGUUUCCCUGAACACUUCAUUAAAGGGCUUUAUUGAAAUAUAAUCCAAAGUUAGUCUAUACUGAAGUGUUUGGGGGAACUCCUGGUGAUAC